rnacentral:rRNA from 1 species
UACGAAGGGGGCUAGCGUUGCUCGGAAUCACUGGGCGUAAAGGGCGCGUAGGCGGAUGGCACAGUCAGAUGUGAAAUUCCCGGGCUUAACCUGGGGGCUGCAUUUGAUACGUGUUGUCUUGAGUUCGGAAGAGGGUCGUGGAAUUCCCAGUGUAGAGGUGAAAUUCGUAGAUAUCAGGAAGAACACCAGUGGCGAAAGCGGACGACCUGGCCUGACAUUGACGCUCAUGCUCGAGAGCGUGGGGAGCAAACAGG